GCUGGCAUCCGUCCAGGGGCCCGACAGGCUUUGCAGGGCAAGUGGUGCAGGAGCCGAGCUGGAGUGAUGUAAAGAGAGGAGUGACAGGCGAGAACCACACGUUCCUUACAGGGCUCCGCAGGGUGUCCCGGAGUCUCACACAGGGCUUCCGAGGACGGCCACAGGCACUCUCACAGUUAGACAUUACCGGAGAUCCGUGGAGUCCCAGGUUUGCUACGGUGGGCCAGAAAAGGGGGUGGAGUCGGCGGCAGGAACAAGGCCGGUGAAAAGUGGCGAGGAAGAGGUGGGGGCUUGGGAAGCUCCCCACUUUCCACGGUGCACCUCUUGCAGGGCCUAUCCCCACCCUCUCAGCCUACAACGCUUCCAUGAGCGUCUCUUGAGCCUGUUGCAGCCCGCAGAAACAGGCGGGGUAACAAAACGCAUGCAUCACAGGCAGAUAAAAGCCGAGCACUGUGGGGGAAAGCAGUCAUUCCUGAAACUUCGUGGCUUUUCUUUCAGAGACAAGCAAUUAAAAAUAAGGGGAAGGAGACCCCCAAACUAUGGCAAUGGAGAGAUGCCCUCCUUCCCCCACAAGAGCUGCCUAAGUGGCAAAGUUUGUGUGCAGCACUGCCCUCUGCUGGCCACAGCUAGAUCUGCAGCUGAAUGGCAGUGGCUUCUGCCAUCUUGACGGGACUAUGGAGAGCACAGACUCCCCAUGAUGGCACUGGGCCCGUGUACUCAUGAUGAUCCAGAACGCUCCCGACGGAGGCCAUAUCUCCAUAGACUGGCACUGUUGUUCAGAAGUCUGAUGUGGCUCUCACGAGGUUACAGUCAAGGUACGCUAAAGACUCCUUCCUCCAACCUCUAAAGCGACUCAAAUUUCCUGGCCCGUGGCCCCUUUAGGCUAGUAGUGUAGCAUCUCCCUGACCCGUCUUCUACCGUCACAUGUCCUUUGCUGAGCCUUUAUUUUGCCUCUGUCCUCUACCUCUACAGAUUCUAAGCGUGGUAGCAUGCUUCCUAUCCCACCGCACAGGAAGGAAGCUGAGGGCUAAGACGGGAGGAUUUUGAGAUGUGGAGCUGCUUGAGUUGGGUAAUGAGACCCUGUCUCAAACCUCAAAAACAAGAGGGGAAAAAGGAACUCAGGACAGUCACUCAUACCUGUAGACCCAGCACUUGGAAGGUGAUGGCUGGAGGUUCAGGAGCUCCAGGUCUCUUGGUUUCAGGGUGUCAUCCAUGGUCAUUUGACGCUGGUGCUGCAGGGCCUGAAGUGAGAUGAACGUCAUGGCCGGGAACACGUGGUGAAGGGCAGUGGCUCACUCCACAGGGUGAAGGGCAGUGGCUCACUCCACGGUGGACAGGAGGCAGAGAGAGGAAGGUCUAUCCAAGGAAAAGAUAGACCCUUCGAUGGCAAACCCUCCUUCUAAUAGCUCAUUCAACUGUGAGCUUCAGGGGGUUCAUCCGCUGAUGAGUUAAUGACCUUGUGACCCACUUGCCUCUCCAGAGUGCCACCAGCUGGGAGCCACGCUUUCACUAGUGAGGCUUUGUGAGUAUGGGCGGUGCUGUGGGACGGUCUAUAUGUCAAAUUGCUCUGAUUGGUCAAUAAAUAAAACACUGGUUGGCCAGUGGCCAGGCAGGAAGUAGGUGGGACA